rnacentral:rRNA from 1 species
AAUAGAUACCCCGGUAGUCCACGCCCUAAACGAUGCGAACUGGAUGUUGGGUGCACUUUGGCACGCAGUAUCGAAGCUAACGCGUUAAGUUCGCCGCCUGGGGAGUACGGUCGCAAGACUGAAACUCAAAGGAAUUGACGGGGGCCCGCACAAGCGGUGGAGUAUGUGGUUUAAUUCGAUGCAACGCGAAGAACCUUACCUGGCCUUGACAUGCACGGAACUUUCCAGAGAUGGAUGGGUGCCUUCGGGAACCGUGACACAGGUGCUGCAUGGCUGUCGUCAGCUCGUGUCGUGAGAUGUUGGGUUAAGUCCCGCAACGAGCGCAACCCUUGUCCUUAGUUGCCAGCACGUAAUGGUGGGAACUCUAAGGAGACCGCCGGUGACAAAACCGGAGGAAGGUGGGGAUGACGGUCAAGUCAUCAUGGGCCCUUACGGCCAGGGGCUACACACGUACUACAAUGGUAGGGACAGAGGGCUGCAAGCCGGCGACGGUGAGCCAAUCCCAGAAAACCCCUAUCUCAGUCCGGAUUGGGAUCGUGCAACUCC